CGGAGGCGGGGCCAGCGCGGGCUGGAAGUGAGCGUUGAGAACUUGCAGGCUAGUCCCUGGGCCGCUGCGAGGGCUGGAGGAGCUACUCAAAGACGCCCGCUAAAUGUUAACAGCGCUCAACACUGCUGCUUCAAACGCCUCCCCGGCCUUGUCAGCUUGACACGCGCGGCGGGUCGGAGGCUCACUGGACCAGAAACUUGUCUGGCAGGACGGACUGGUUGGCCCCGCGGCAUUCCAGCCCAGUGUCAUCACCUUGAAAACAGGAGAUGCUUUUGCCUCACUGGGCGUCCAGAGGUGCGUCGGCCAACAAUUCCGAUCACAACCGCAGCGCCGUCUCCCAGAAACUCAGUACUGAAUCUCACAAAGGUCACCACCUAGGAUCCCAACACAGUGUGAGAUGCUAUGGGACGCCGUUGCCCUCCAGCUAGUCUCUGAGCAGUGGUGGACCUUGGGCUGCCAAAGCGGGAACAGGAAGGGCACAAGAUCUGCAUUAAUUCUAGUCUUAAUCCUGUUAGAAGGUGAUUAGUUUUCUUGACAUGUAUCCGCCACCCGGUCAUUACUGACAAGCUAACAAAUGAAAAAAAGAGAGAAACAAAGAGAAAAAAGAAAAAAGGCGGGCCUUCACACAGGACAAGGUUCAGGAGAGCACCCUUAUAGAAAUAGAUCAACUAUGUAAAUUCCUCAAGGUCUUUACUGACACGGUAAAAGUAAGUAAAGUGUUGAAAAUUUACUAACAAAUGAGCAAAACCAAAAGUCAAAUUAGGAUGCAUUGAAAAGCAGAACACAAAGACAUCAUUUUACCUCACCAAACAGAUCUUUGAAGCUGUGCGGUUAGUUUGGGUUGCACGUUUUCAAAAGGAUGUCGAGAAACCAUAAUUUGUUCCUUAUGGGGUGGAUAACUGAAAUGACAGAGAAGAUUUGAAAAUAAGUCCCUACUGAACAGAGAACUAUGGGGUGACUACAUUAAUAAAUUGUCCAAUUGUUUGGAGGAUCGGAAAUGAAGGAGUGCUUGAUAGUGAAGAAGAUAAUCAGAAUAAUGGCUGAAGCCAGUAGUAGGGUUUCCAUCUCUGGCUACUACCCUACCCUGCAUAAAGGAUUAGAAGUGCUCCAUUCUAACUCUCUGGAAGUCAAGAAGCCUGAGUUCUAGUGCUGCCAAUGCCACUAAUUGCAUGGCCUUGCCUCUACAGGUAUUAUCAAAGAGAAGAUGAGAACCUUGAACUGAGAGGACCUCACAAGCCUGUAGUGAAGGAAGACCCUGUUGCCAAGAUGAGGUGCAGACGGUGGAGUUAAUCAUUCUCCUCAGUUCCUACUUGGUGAAUGUUUCAUGCAUCCGUGUGAAGAGAGUCCACCAAACAGGCUUUGUGUCUUUACCUCUCAACUGAACCCUGAACUCCUGGAGAAUAGAUGCUGUCGGGAAAUCACCAGCUUCUCACAAAGCAAUGAUCGUUGAAUAAAUCCUUGUUAAAUAAUGACAGUUUUCCUUUUUGGAUUGCUGUGAUCUCUACUCCCAUCACGACUGCUAAGCCUUGGGCAGGAGACCUUGUAUUCCCAGCCAGCUAUUCUUCCCACCGCCAUCCGUAGUUGGUCUCACUAUGUUGUGCAGGCUGGCCUCAAACUCCUGGGCUCAAGGGAUCUUCUCAUCUCAUCCUUCCAAAGGGCUGCGAUUACAAGUCUGUUUUAGGCACAUCUUGUAUCCCUCUUGCCUCAACUCUGGAAUUGGUUACCACUACUUCUGAACUGGGUGGCAGCUACAGACAGAGGUGGUAAGGGAGUAAUUGCUUAGGAUUGGACUGAGCUGAAGAAUGUUUAGCCUGGCGGUACUAGUGCAACUGGAAGAACAGAUGAACCAUAGUUUGCAACACAAAGCCAAGUCAACCAACAGAAGAAAUAUAUAUUUUAAGAAGAUUUUAUAUUUUCAACUGAAAACGUUCAUGUCAGUUGUGAAUGUAUUUGUAAUUGGCAGCCCCAAAUCAUCUCCCUUUUUAUUUUUGAGAAAGUGUAGUGUGCUUUAGUAUUUGGAACAUUCAUUUAAACCUAUUAAAUUAUAUUUUAAAAUGCACUGUUCCCAUUUCAAUCAAAAUUGGUUUUAUACUAUAUAUUGUAACACUAAAGUGCUUCUGGUAAUUUGCUUGUAAAACCAAAACUCUUUUAAAUUUAUCCACUUGUCCCUUUCAGAAAUGACGUGUUUGUGCAUAGGACUUGUUAGUAUUCUGAUUCAAACAAAACUACAGUACAUGUAAAAACAUAUUUAUAGAACAUAAAUAAGAAAAUGUGAACCCUGAAGAAUAUUUGAUGGAACUAAUGGACUAUUCUAAUUUUUAUGUGUGAAAAUGAUAAUGUGAUUUUUUAAAAGAGUCCUUCUUUUUUAGACAUGCACACUGAAAUAAUUAUAGAUGAAAUUAUGCAAUGUCUGUGAUUUGUUUCAAAAUAGUCUGGUGCUUAGGGAGAGAGAAGUGGGUGGGGAGAGAGAUGAAAUAAGCUUAGUUAUGAGUUGGUAAUUGUUGAAGCUGGGUCCUAUAUAUAUAUGGGGGUAAGGUCAUAUUCUAUUCUACUUUUGCAUAGAUUUGAAAUUUUUCAUAAUAAAAAGUUAAAAACAAAUCACACACCAAAAAAACUCCCAAACCCAACUGUCAUUAUUUAAUAACUUUGAACUUGGUAUGGACCUAAGAAGGCAUCUUUUACAAGGGAAAUGUGCAGUUCCAAGUCUUUUUCUUGAUGAUUGGGUCUGAAUGUGUUAAUCAAUGCUGCCCUGUCAUAGCCCCGACAUAGGGAAAAUGCUGAAAUGUGAUUUUUAAAUCAUAAAAAUGUGCCCAUAGUAAUAGCUCCAUCUUUUGCACAAUAUUUAAAUCAAUUCAUUGAUUUCCAGUUGCCUGAUAUUCUUAUUUCAGUAACAAAAUAAACGAUACAUAGUUCAGUAAAGUUGAAUCCAUUUGGGUUCAUUUGUGCUCGAAGUCUGAAGCCAAGUAAGAUCUGCUUCUUAGCUGCAUGUCAGGGGAUAAGGCAUCAGUCUCUUUGUAAGGCUUGGUUUCCUUUUUUUUCUUUUAUCGUACAGUUUCUAACCACGUUCAUGAAUAGAUAAAUUAAGGACAAAAUACAUCUAUAUCCCUCCUUGGCUCUUUGUUUAUUUGCAUAUACAGAAUUACUAAUAUAGUCCAUGUCUGUAAAUGUCUUAAAAAUGUCUCCAUUAAAAAAAUCCAGAAAAAUGA
rnacentral:lncRNA from 1 species